AUCACAAUAGCAAGAAGAAACACAGAACCAACCACAACACCCACCAAAAUACCUAUGAGAGCUUUCACACCUCCAUAGGGUGUGUAAGUCUGAGGAACGAGAGACGCAAUGCCACUUUGUGCAGCAAUAGUUGAAGCAAGCGACGUGUAUUGAAAUAUCGUCGUAACAUAUGUAGUCGGUUGAAUGGUAACGUACUCUGUCACAACAGAUACCUGCUGAUGAAUAGAAUUAUUGGUGCUGGAAGAAAUAAUUUCAUUUGAUGCUGAAACAUCUGAAGCUGUAAUCACUGACGUGCCUGAACUAGAACUGGUCGAAGUAGAGGAAGGUGAUGAGGAGGAGGUCGAUGGUUGACUAUCAUGGCUGGUGGAUAUAGAAGAAGAACUUGAGCUCGAAGAAGUUGAGGCCCUUCGGUAUAAACUAGGAAAUACGGUGCUCAAUGUACCAUAGUUUAUACUGACACUGGCAGAUGGUGCAAAAGUUCUAGGAGUAGCCCCAUCCACCACUAGAUAACUUAUGGCAGUAAAAAUUGAAAUCAAAAGAAAAGACCGGAUGUUCAUUGAUUUAAAAGAAGUUAUCG